rnacentral:lncRNA from 10 species
UUUUCCUAUAAGACAAAUUUAUACAUAAUUUGAUGUUGAAAAAAUGAUAAUAAUAAUUCGUGGACAAGAAUAUGAUUUCCUCCUCUCUGACAAAAAAAAAAAUCUGCUCCAAUCUCUGAGCAAAAUUAUCACAUUUUUUGCUUAACACAGCUGGUGCAGGAGACUCCCCAAAGGAAAAUCGGUCUCUGUGAGAGGCACAUGCUGAGAAUGAUGAGAGAACGUCCUCCCUGAACCAAGGGUCACCAGAGUGACGGCUGGAGAACGUGGAACUACACUGGA